UACGUAGGGGGCUAGCGUUGUCCGGAAUCAUUGGGCGUAAAGCGCGUGUAGGCGGUCCGGUAAGUCCGCUGUGAAAGUCGGGGGCUCAACCCUCGGAUGCCGGUGGAUACUGUCGGGCUUGAGUACGGAAGAGGCGAGUGGAAUUCCUGGUGUAGCGGUGAAAUGCGUAGAUAUCGAGAGGAACACCUGCGGCGAAGGCGGGUUGCUGGGCUGACACUGACGCUGAUGCGCGAAAGCUAGGGGAGCGAACGGG
rnacentral:rRNA from 1 species